UGAGUAACGCGUAUGCAACCUACCUAUCAGAGGGGAAUAACCCGGCGAAAGUCGGACUAAUACCGCAUAAAAACAGGGGCACCGCAUGGUGAUAUUUGUUAAAGAAAUUCGCUGAUAGAUGGGCAUGCGUUCCAUUAGGUAGUUGGUGAGGUAACGGCUCACCAAGCCGACGAUGGAUAGGGGAACUGAGAGGUUGGUCCCCCACACUGGUACUGAGACACGGACCAGACUCCUACGGGAGGCAGCAGUGAGGAAUAUUGGUCAAUGGGCGGGAGCCUGAACCAGCCAAGUCGCGUGGAAAAGGAAGAAGGAUCUAUGGUUCGUAAACUUCUUUUGCAGGGGAAUAAAGUGCAGGACGUGUCCUGUUUUGUAUGUACCCUGAGAAUAAGGAUCGGCUAACUCCGUGCCAGCAGCCGC
rnacentral:rRNA from 1 species